GCAGGGAGUGGAGAGCUCAUCUACACUGCAAAACUGAGAGGAUAUGAAGGUGACUUCGAUUGCUAAUUCAUGGAUACCCUCUGCUUGCGAGUGAAAUUAAGAUCUGACAUACUGCAUCUUUGCUAAAGUGAUGUUCUUGCACGUCGAGGGUUUGCAUGACAUAGGAAUCGAGGUGGCCUUCAUCCUUUUGGAUUGGAGUGAAGGGAGCUCUGCAUCUUUGCCUG
rnacentral:pre_miRNA from 1 species